UUUCCGGUUGAUCCUGCCGGACCUGACUGCUAUCGGAUUGAUACUAAGCCAUGCGAGUCUUUGUAGUAAUACAAGGCAUACGGCUCAGUAACACGUAGUCAACCUACCCUAUGGACAAGAAUAAUCUCGGGAAACUGGGCAUAAUUCUUGAUAGAUCAUAAUGCCUGGAAUGGUUUAUGGUUAAAAUGAUUCGUCGCCAUAGGAUGGGACUGCGGCCUAUCAGCUUGUUGGUGAGGUAAUGGCCCACCAAGGCGAUUACAGGUACGGGCUCUGAGAGGAGAAGCCCGGAGAUGGGUACUGAGACACGGACCCAGGCCCUAUGGGGCGCAGCAGGCGAGAAAACUUUGCAAUGUGCGAAAGCACGACAAGGUUAAUCCGAGUGAUUUCUGCUAAAGAAAUCUUUUGCCAGUCAUAAAACCACUGGUGAAUAAGGGGUGGGCAAGUUCUGGUGUCAGCCGCCGCGGUAAAACCAGCACCUCAAGUGGUCAGGAUGAUUAUUGGGCCUAAAGCAUCCGUAGCCGGCUUUGUAAGUUUUCGGUUAAAUCCAUGUGCUCAACGCAUGGGCUGCCGAAAAUACUGCAUAGCUAGGGAGUGGGAGAGGUAGACGGUACUCAGUAGGAAGGGGUAAAAUCCUUUGAUCUAUUGAUGACCACCUGUGGCGAAGGCGGUCUACCAGAACACGUUCGACGGUGAGGGAUGAAAGCUGGGGGAGCAAACCGGAUUAGAUACCCGGGUAGUCCCAGCUGUAAACGAUGCAGACUCGAUGAUGCAUUGGCAUAAUAGCCAGUGCAGUGUCGCAGGGAAGCCGUUAAGUCUGCCGCCUGGGAAGUACGUACGCAAGUAUGAAACUUAAAGGAAUUGGCGGGGGAGCACCACAAGGGGUGAAGCCUGCGGUUCAAUUGGAGUCAACGCCGGA
rnacentral:rRNA from 1 species